GACGAACGCUGGCGGCGUGCUUAACACAUGCAAGUCGAACGAAGCGGCGAACGGGUGAGUAACGCGUAAUCAACCUGCCCUUCAGAGGGGGACAACAGUUGGAAACGACUGCUAAUACAGCAUACUGAAGGAGGGGAUUGCGUCUGAUUAGCUAGUUGGAGGGGUAACGGCCGACCAAGGCGAAGAUCAGUAGCCGGUCUUGGAGGGUGAACGGCCACAGUGGGACUGGGACACGGCCCAGUAUCCUACGGGAGGCAGGAGGGGGGAAUCUUCCGCAAUGGAGGAAAGUCUGACGGAGCAACGGCGCGGGAGUGAUGACGGCCUUCGGGUUGUAAAGCUCUGUUAAGCGGGAAGCGGUACCGGAAUAGAAAGCCACGGCUAACUACGUGCCAGCAGCCGCGGUAAUAC
rnacentral:rRNA from 1 species